CAGGCAGGGAUUGUGUGUAUCGGCGUUGUGCAGCAAUCAAUGCACUCUGUAUCCGAAAGAGUUCCCUGCGAUAUCAAGUUAAGGGGAAGGUGGGCAGUUGUAUUUUAUCAUAGCCCUUGAAAAUUUCAACAAUCAUCUUCCCCAUAUUU